rnacentral:rRNA from 1 species
AUUGAACGCUGGCGGAAUGCCUAACACAUGCAAGUCGAGCGGGGUGUAGCAAUACACCUAGCGGCGGACGGGUGAGGAAUACAUAGGAAUCUACCUUUAAGUGGGGGAUAGCCCGGGGAAACCCGGAUUAAUACCGCAUGAUCUCGCAAGAGCAAAGCGGGGGACCGUAAGGCCUCGCGCUGAAAGAUGAGCCUAUGUCGGAUUAGCUAGUUGGCGGGGUAAAGGCCCACCAAGGCGACGAUCCGUAGCUGGUCUGAGAGGACGAUCAGCCACACCGGAACUGAGACACGGUCCGGACUCCUACGGGAGGCAGCAGCGGGGAAUAUUGGACAAUGGGCGCAAGCCUGAUCCAGCAAUUCCGCGUGUGUGAAGAA